rnacentral:rRNA from 1 species
UGGGGAAUUUUGGACAAUGGGCGCAAGCCUGAUCCAGCCAUGCCGCGUGCGGGAAGAAGGCCUUCGGGUUGUAAACCGCUUUUGUCAGGGAAGAAAUCUUCUGAGUUAAUACCUCGGGAGGAUGACGGUACCUGAAGAAUAAGCACCGGCUAACUACGUGCCAGCAGCCGCGGUAAUACGUAGGGUGCAAGCGUUAAUCGGAAUUACUGGGCGUAAAGCGUGCGCAGGCGGUUUUGUAAGACAGAGGUGAAAUCCCCGGGCUCAACCUGGGAACCGCCUUUGUGACUGCAAGGCUUGAGUGCGGCAGAGGGGGAUGGAAUUCCGCGUGUAGCAGUGAAAUGCGUAGAUAUGCGGAGGAACACCGAUGGCGAAGGCAAUCCCCUGGGCCUGCACUGACGCUCAUGCACGAAAGCGUGGGGAGCAAACAGGAUUAGAUACCCUGGUAGUCCACGCCCUAAACGAUGUCAACUGGUUGUUGGGAAGGUUCCUUCUCAGUAACGUAGCUAACGCGUGAAGUUGACCGCCUGGGGAGUACGGCCGCAAGGUUAAAACUCAAAUG